AUUCUCACACAACAACAACAACAACAAACAUAAAGAGCAGGGGAAAAGAGAGGUAAUGUAGUAGUAGUGGUAUGAUGAUAAAGUAUGAUGCAAACAUAGUAGGAAGCAGUAUGCAGGAGAGAGAUACUGACAGGUCAGAGACAGGAGGAGAAGACUCUGCUAACAAAACGAUGCAGCGCAAGCAUAUUGUUUUAUUUUACUGCCCUUUUACCCUUUUGUAGCUUUGUUUUCUUGUGCUUUUGUCAUCGCUGAGCUUUGUUUGCCGCUCAGCUUCUUUUGAGCUUUUCUUUCUACUGACAUGAUUCUGCAAGUGCCAUGAUAGCUUAGCCCAUGUAC
rnacentral:sRNA from 1 species